rnacentral:rRNA from 1 species
AUUGAACGCUGGCGGAAUGCUUUACACAUGCAAGUCGAACGGUAGAGGGGGCUACCCCUCGAGAGUGGCGAACGGGUGAGUAAUAUAUCGGAACGUGCCCAGUCGUGGGGGAUAACGUAGCGAAAGUUACGCUAAUACCGCAUACGAUCUAAGGAUGAAAGCGGGGGAUCGCAAGACCUCGCGCGAUUGGAGCGGCCGAUAUCAGAUUAGGUAGUUGGGGGGGUAAAGGCUCACCAAGCCAACGAUCUGUAGCUGGUCUGAGAGGACGACCAGCCACAGUGGGACAGGGACACGGUCCAGACUCCUACGGGAGGCAGCAGUGGGGAAUUUUGGCCAAGGGGCGAAAGUCUGAUCCAGCCAUUCCGCGUGCAGGAUGAGGGCCCUCGGGUUGUAAACUGCUUUUGUACGGAACGAAAAGGUCUCUCUUAAUCCGGGGGACUCAUGACGGUACCGUAAGAAUAAGCACCGGCUAACUACGUGCCAGCCGCCGCCGUAAGAC